rnacentral:rRNA from 1 species
AGAACGAACGCUGGCGGCAGGCUUAACACAUGCAAGUCGAGCGCCCCGCAAGGGGAGCGGCAGACGGGUGAGUAACGCGUGGGAACAUACCCUCCGGUUCGGAAUAGCUCAGGGAAACUUGGAUUAAUACCGGAUACGGCCUAGCGGCGAAAGAUUCAUCGCCGGAGGAUUGGCCCGCGUUCGAUUAGCUAGUUGGUGAGGUAACGGCUCACCAAGGCGACGAUCGAUAGCUGGUCUGAGAGGAUGAUCAGCCACAUUGGGACUGAGACACGGCCCAAACUCCUACGGGAGGCAGCAGUGGGGAAUAUUGGACAAUGGGCGCAAGCCUGAUCCAGCCAUGCCGCGUGAGUGAUGACGGCCUUAGGGUGUAAAGCUCUUUCGCUAGGGACGAUAAUGACGGUACCUAGACAAGAAGCCCGGCUAACUUCGCGCCAGCAGCCGC